AUUGAACGCUGGCGGCAGGCCUAACACAUGCAAGUCGAGCGGAUGAAGGGAGCUUGCUCCUGGAUUCAGCGGCGGACGGGUGAGUAAUGCCUAGGAAUCUGCCUGGUAGUGGGGGAUAACGUCCGGAAACGGGCGCUAAUACCGCAUACGUCCUGAGGGAGAAAGUGGGGGAUCUUCGGACCUCACGCUAUCAGAUGAGCCUAGGUCGGAUUAGCUAGUUGGUGGGGUAAAGGCCUACCAAGGCGACGAUCCGUAACUGGUCUGAGAGGAUGAUCAGUCACACUGGAACUGGGGCACGGUCCCGACUCCUACGGGAGGCAGCAGUGGGGAAUAUUGGACAAUGGGCGAAAGCCUGAUCCAGCCAUGCCGCGUGUGUGAAGAAGGUCUUCGGAUUGUAAAGCACUUUAAGUUGGGAGGAAGGGCAGUAAGUUAAUACCUUGCUGUUUUGACGUUACCAACAGAAUAAGCACCGGCUAACUUCGUG
rnacentral:rRNA from 1 species